rnacentral:rRNA from 1 species
GCCUCUAAGCAUCAGGUAACACGAAAUCGUACCCCAAACCGACACAGGUGGUCAGGUAGAGAAUACCAAGGCGCUUGAGAGAACUCGGGUGAAGGAACUAGGCAAAAUGGUGCCGUAACUUCGGGAGAAGGCACGCUGACACGUAGGUGAAGUGAUUUACUCAUGGAGCUGAAGUCAGUCGAAGAUACCAGCUGGCUGCAACUGUUUAUUAAAAACACAGCACUGUGCAAACACGAAAGUGGACGUAUACGGUGUGACGCCUGCCCGGUGCCGGAAGGUUAAUUGAUGGGGUCAGCGUAAGCGAAGCUCCUGAUCGAAGCCCCGGUAAACGGCGGCCGUAACUAUAACGGUCCUAAGGUAGCGAAAUUCCUUGUCGGGUAAGUUCCGACCUGCACGAAUGGCGUAAUGAUGGCCAGGCUGUCUCCACCCGAGACUCAGUGAAAUUGAACUCGCUGUGAAGAUGCAGUGUACCCGCGGCAAGACGGAAAGACCCCGUGAACCUUUACUAUAGCUUGACACUGAACAUUGAGCCUUGAUGUGUAGGAUAGGUGGGAGGCUUUGAAGUGUGGACGCCAGUCUGCAUGGAGCCGACCUUGAAAUACCACCCUUUAAUGUUUGAUGUUCUAACGUGGACCCGUAAUCCGGGUUGCGGACAGUGUCUGGUGGGUAGUUUGACUGGGGCGGUCUCCUCCUAAAGAGUAACGGAGGAGCACGAAGGUUGGCUAAUCCUGGUCGGACAUCAGGAGGUUAGUGCAAUGGCAUAAGCCAGCUUGACUGCGAGCGUGACGGCGCGAGCAGGUGCGAAAGCAGGUCAUAGUGAUCCGGUGGUUCUGAAUGGAAGGGCCAUCGCUCAACGGAUAAAAGGUACUCCGGGGAUAACAGGCUGAUACCGCCCAAGAGUUCAUAUCGACGGCGGUGUUUGGCACCUCGAUGUCGGCUCAUCACAUCCUGGGGCUGAAGUAGGUCCCAAGGGUAUGGCUGUUCGCCAUUUAAAGUGGUACGCGAGCUGGGUUUAGAACGUCGUGAGACAGUUCGGUCCCUAUCUGCCGUGGGCGCUGGAGAACUGAGGGGGGCUGCUCCUAGUACGAGAGGACCGGAGUGGACGCAUCACUGGUGUUCGGGUUGUCAUGCCAAUGGCACUGCCCGGUAGCUAAAUGCGGAAGAGAUAAGUGCUGAAAGCAUCUAAGCACGAAACUUGCCCCGAGAUGAGUUCUCCCUGAGACUUAGAGUCUCCUGAAGGAACGUUGAAGACGACGACGUUGAUAGGCCGGGUGUGUAAGCGCAGCGAUGCGUUGAGCUAACCGGUACUAAUGAACCGUGAGGCUUAACCUU